UACAGGGGGGGCAAGCGUUGUUCGGAAUUACUGGGCGUAAAGGGUUCGUAGGUGGCCAACUUAGUCAGACGUGAAAUCCCUCAGCUUAACUGGGGAACUGCGUCUGAUACUGGAUGGCUUGAGUGCAGGAGAGGAACGCGGAAUUCCAGGUGUAGCGGUGAAAUGCGUAGAGAUCCGGAGGAACACCAGAGGCGAAGGCGGCCUACUGGGCCAGUACUGACGCUGAGCCGCGAAAGCCAGGGGAGCGAACGGG
rnacentral:rRNA from 1 species